UCCGUAGGCGGGUAAUUAAGUCAGAGUUGAAAUCCCACAGCUUAACUGUGGAACUGCCUUAGAUACUGGUUAUCUUGAGUUUUAGUGAAGUAGAUAGAAUGUGUAGUGUAGCGGUGAAAUGCAUAGAUAUUACACAGAAUACCGAUUGCGAAGGCAGUCUACUAACUAACAACUGACGCUAAUGGACGAAAGCGUGGGGAGCGAACAGGAUUAGAUACCCUGGUAGUCC
rnacentral:rRNA from 1 species